rnacentral:rRNA from 1 species
UACGUAGGGUGCGAGCGUUAAUCGGAAUUACUGGGCGUAAAGCGUGCGCAGGCGGUUCGUUGUGUCGGCGGUGAAAGCCCCGGGCUCAACCUGGGAAUGGCCGUUGAAACUGGCGAACUGGAGUGUGGCAGAGGGGGGUGGAAUUCCGCGUGUAGCAGUGAAAUGCGUAGAGAUGCGGAGGAACACCGAUGGUGAAGGCAGCCCCCUGGGCUAACACUGACGCUCAGGCACGAAAGCGUGGGGAGCAAACAGG